rnacentral:rRNA from 1 species
CUAGUAAUCGCGGAUCAGAAUGCCGCGGUGAAUACGUUCCCGGGUCUUGUACACACCGCCCGUCACACCAUGGGAGUCGGAAAUGCCCGAAGUCUGUGACCUAACCGUAAGGAAGGAGCAGCCGAAGGCAGGUCGGAUGACUGGGGUGAAGUCGUAACAAGGUACC